UUUAUAGUAUAAUAAUUACAUUAGCUUUUCAAGCAAAAAAUUUGGUAACAAUAAAU
rnacentral:tRNA from 1 species